UGGGGAAUUUUGGACAAUGGGCGCAAGCCUGAUCCAGCCAUGCCGCGUGAGUGAAGAAGGCCUUCGGGUUGUAAAGCUCUUUCGGCGGGGACGAAACGGUUCGUGACAACACCACGGACUAAUGACGGUACCCGCAUAAGAAGCACCGGCUAACUCCGUGCCAGCAGCCGCGGUAAUACGGAGGGUGCAAGCGUUAUCCGGAAUCACUGGGUUUAAAGGGUGCGUAGGCGGUUUGAUAAGUCAGUUGUGAAAUUCUCCGGCUUAACCGGGUGGACUGCGAUUGAUACUGUUGGACUUGAGUACAGAUGAGGUAGGCGGAAUUGACGGUGUAGCGGUGAAAUGCAUAGAUAUCGUCAAGAACACCGAUAGCGAAGGCAGCUUACCAAGCUGUAACUGACACUGAGGCACGAAAGUGUGGGGAGCAAACGGGGAUUAGAUACCCAAGUAGUCCCUGAGCGGGCUGGCAAGGCGCAU
rnacentral:rRNA from 1 species